GACGAACGCUGGCGGCGUGCUUAACACAUGCAAGUCGAACGGAAAGGCCUGCUUUCCCUUGUGGAUUGCGGGUACUCGAGUGGCGAACGGGUGAGUAACACGUGAGUGAUCUGCCCCCAACUUGGGUAUAAGCCUGGGAAACUGGGUCUAAUUCCCGAUAGGACUGCAGGGUGGUGCCUGUGGUGGAAAACGAUUUUCUAGUGGUUGGGGAUGAGCUCGCGGCCUAUCAGCUUGUUGGUGGGGUAAUGGCCUACCAAGGCGGCGACGGGUAGCCGGCCUGGGAGGGGGGAGGGCCAAAUUGGGAUGGGGAUACGGCCCGGAUUCUACCGGAGGGCGGAGUGGGGGAAUAUGGAACAAGGGGGGGAGGCCGAAGGCGGGGACGCGGGGGGGGGAUGACGGCCUUCGGGUUGUAAACUCCUUUCGACCGCGAGGAAGCCACCUGGUUGGAAGGGUGGUGACGGUAGUGGUAGAAGAAGCACCGGCUAACUACGUG
rnacentral:rRNA from 1 species